UGGGGAAUUUUGGACAAUGGGGGCAACCCUGAUCCAGCAAUGCCGCGUGAGUGAAGAAGGCCUUCGGGUUGUAAAGCUCUUUUGUCCGGGAAGAAAUCCUGUCUACUAAUACUGGACGGGGAUGACGGUACUGGAAGAAUAAGCACCGGCUAACUACGUGCCAGCAGCCGCGGUAAUACGUAGGGUGCGAGCGUUAAUCGGAAUUACUGGGCGUAAAGCGUGCGCAGGGCGGGUUUUCCAAGACAGAUGUGAAAUCCCCGGGCUCAACCUGGGAAUGGCAUUUGUGACUGGAAGGCUAGAGUGUGUCAGAGGGGGGUAGAAUUCCACGUGUAGCAGUGAAAUGCGUAGAGAUGUGGAGGAAUACCGAUGGCGAAGGCAGCCCCCUGGGAUAACACUGACGCUCAUGCACGAAAGCGUGGGGAGCAAACAGGAUUAGAUACCCUGGUAGUCCACGCCCUAAACGAUGUCUACUAGUUGUCGGGUCUUCAUUGACUUGGUAACGCAGCUAACGCGUGAA
rnacentral:rRNA from 1 species